AUGGAGAACCCGAUGUUAGCGGCGGUGAUCAAUAACCUGCCCCACCUCCUGGACAACCCCGACCUCGUACAGCGCGUCCUCGACGGCGCCCGUGCAGACCUCCACCUGAACGGCCUCCACCUCGCCGAGGCGGCGGCCCAACUCAGAGACUGCUUGCGCGCCGAGGGCCAAGUCCGGACCCUCCCCGAGCCCACGGAGGAGCAACGGAUCGCGUGUGCGAUGGUCGUCGAUGCGGGCAGGGCCAGCUAUCGUUUCUUCUUGAAGCAGCACUGGCUGCUCGGCCAGCUCGUCGGGUCGCUCCUCGUGAUCCGGGCAGCCGCCUCCGCUAGGAGCCGCGCGCACCUCCUCCCCGGCGUGCUCCUCGCGGCUGUCUCGGCGGCUGUGGUCGUGUACGUCACGACCCGUGGCGUCGUGGUGCCAGGUUUCAGGAGCCUCGUGAGAUUCUGCGUCCUGACGCUGCAUUUCCUCUUCGCCCCCGAUCGGCCUCGUGCUCGUGGACGUGCUGGGUAA
rnacentral:rRNA from 1 species